GCUGGUGAAAAUGAUGACUACUUUUUUUCCCCAUCGGAUCGACCAUGCUGAUACCUUUGAAUACUUGCCAGUUAGUUCUGAUACACCAGC